CGCCCGAUUGCCGCACGUUGCGCACCAGCUUCCGUUCCGACAGCUCUCGGGGGCCGCGGUAGCCCACGAAGGGUUGGUGGCUUACCACCUUGGUCAGCAGCAGCCCCGGCUCCCCUGGGGGUAGGAGCAGGAACAAGAACCCCUGGAGCCCACCAGCAAAUCCCCUGCUGGAGGUUUUCAACAACGGUGGACUCUUCAUCAUCCAGCGCCCUGCCAAGGACAGACCCAAAGAGAGACAGGGAGAUCCACAGAUUCAGAGACAGAGACCCUGAGAGACGGCGACGGGCGACACAGAAAAGGAGAAGUCUAGGUCAGGCGGUAUCAGGGAGCCCAUGAGAAACAGGGAAAGGAUGACAAGGGGUGGAGACGGACAGACAAAUGGCAGUGAGAAUACACAUGACCAGGACCUUGCAAGGCCCUGGGAGAAGACACAACAAGGUACAGGACAAGAGACCAAUGGCUGGAAUGCCGUCUUCCACAGAAAGCUCAAGAGAACAAAUCAGAGGGACACCCAGAGACCCAGUAAAUCAGAGCGAGAGAUCAAGGCAGGGGAGCUGGGCAGAGCGGAGAAGCUGAGGCAGAGGCCCCAGAUGGUGGUAAGACAGGCCACUGGCUCAGGGUCCAGAUGAAGGCUGCAUACCCCUUUAGUGAGCACCAGUGUUAAGGUUUUGGGCAGCUCGUUCCAGCCAAAGAGAAGACUGAGGGUCGCCACCCCCACCACCCAGGAAAGGCUCCUCAACCCCCAUACCUAGCCCUACAGGGAUGCAGAAGCCCUGAUUAUCCCUCACAGGCUCCUCCGCCUCCAUGUCGAACUGCACCAGCUCAAAGGGGGACAGCAUCUGGGGUAGAGGGUGGGGUGUCGACAUAGGUCCUGUGGGCUCAGCCUCAGUCGGGGCAGCUGCACACCAGGCACCCGCACACUCACUCGAAGAAGGCAGUUCAUCUUGCCCAGGGCCCCGCGGCGCCCCACAUAGUUGACUAAGCCCAUGUUGCCUUCUGUGGAGCCGUAGAUUUCCCAGAUCCGAAUGGGACCGAAGCGCUGCUGGAAGGCCUCCCACACAUCAGCCCGGAGUCCAUUGCCCAUCGCCAUGCGGACUGUAUGUGUCCGGUCCUCUGGUUGCUACAGGAAUGUCCCCAGAAGGCCCCACCCUGACACUUACUCCAGUGGUCCUUUGAUUGGAGAGAUCCUCAGAAGUGGGCUUACCGAGCUCUAAGCAGCCGAGGAUCCCAACGACAAGUCCCAUCACGUGGUACAGAGGCAGGACCAUGUAAACCACGUCAUCAGCUGUGGCCCCAAAUAAGGACAGCAUCUUGCUCAUCUGCAGUACCCUCUCAUGAGUGAGGAUGGCUGGCUUCGGGAGGCCUUGGGAUGAAGGCGUGGCAAGGGCAGAGUGGUGAAAUGACAGCACAGAGAGGGUCCUGACCAGAGGGAUAGAUCUCUAACAGCCAGGCCUGCAUUGGGGUUUGAGGCUCUCAGAGAGCAGGCAAGUAUAGGUAUCUGUGGUUGGGUUCACAGGCUGAAUUUGGACUGAGAGUAAUAUGUCAAGACCAAAGGUUUCAGUGGCUGUUUACUGGACACAGGAAGCAUUCUGGCAUUGACCUCUCAAAUUACAUUGGGGGUCAGAGUUCAGGCCAAAUGUCAAAAUCAAGGCUCUCACAGUGGCUCACACCUGUAAUUCCAUCAUUUUGGGAGGCUGAGGUGGACAGAUCACCUGAGGUCAGGGGUUAGAGACCAGCCUGGCCAACUUGG